CAGAGAGCGCGUUCUAGGGGUGGGCGAGGGGGAGGGGCAGGAGAGGCCGGGGAGAAACUGAAGGAGGAGGCAACAUGAGCAUCGUUCGGGCGAUGGGAGGUCACUGACUGGAAAGAGCCGCCGCGGGGACCUGGAAGUGGGAUCAGCGGACCAAGAAGUGCCCCCCGGAGCAGCCCUGCGGUCUGGACUUGACUGCGGGACGAUCCGCUGGAAGUGAGUUCCAUGUACGGGAGCCAGCGAUUCCUGGGAAAGAGGAAACACCGAGACAGAUUCACCUCAGCUGACUUAAUCAAAAUGUCUGUCAGCGUCCAUGAGAACCGCAAGUCCAGGACAAGCACAGGCUCUAUGAACAUCACCCUUUUCCACAAACCUUCCCACCCAGACUGUGUCUUGUCCCACCUCAACACCCUGAGGAAGCACUGUAUGUUCACAGAUGUCACUCUCUGGGCUGGGGACCGCUCAUUUCCCUGCCACCGGGCUGUGUUGGCCGCCUCUAGUUGCUAUUUCGAAGCCAUGUUCAGCCAUGGCCUACGAGAAAGUCUGGAUGACGCAGUCAACUUUCAUGAUAGUCUCCAUCCAGAAGUGCUUGAGCUCCUGCUGGACUUUGCCUACUCGUCCCGGAUCAUCAUCAAUGAGGAAAAUGCUGAAUCCCUGCUGGAAGCGGGGGACAUGCUCCAGUUCCAUGAUGUGCGAGAUGCUGCCGCUGAGUUCUUAGAGAAGAAUCUCUUCCCCUCCAACUGUCUGGGUAUGAUGCUCCUCUCAGAUGCCCACCAGUGCCGCCGCCUUUACGAGCUCUCUUGGCGCAUGUGCCUGGUACAUUUUGAGACGGUGCAGCAGAGUGAAGACUUCAAAAACCUCUCCAAGGACACCCUGUUGGACUUGAUCUCCAGUGAUGAGCUUGAGACAGAGGAUGAACGAGUAGUCUUUGAAGCCAUUAUUCAGUGGGUGAAACAUGAUUUGGAUGAGAGAAAAGUGUACCUCCCAGAGCUUCUACGCAGUGUACGGCUGGCCCUGCUGCCCUCUGAAAUCCUAAAGGAGGCCAUCACCUGUGAGGACCUUAUUAUGGCAGAUGAGCGUAACAAGCUUAUCAUGGACGAAGCUCUCCACUGUAAGAAGAAGAUUCUACAGAAUGACGGGGUGGUCACUAGCCCCUGUGCCCGACCCCGAAAGGCAGGCCACACUCUUCUGAUCCUUGGAGGCCAGACCUUCAUGUGUGACAAGAUCUACCAGGUGGACCACAAAGCAAAGGAAAUCAUCCCCAAGGCAGACUUGCCCAGUCCACGGAAGGAGUUCAGUGCCUGUGCCCUAGGCUGUAAGGUCUAUGUGACAGGGGGGAGGGGCUCUGAGAAUGGGGUCUCCAAAGAUGUCUGGGUGUAUGACACUGUCCAUGAAGAAUGGUCCAAGGCUGCUCCUAUGCUGAUUGCCCGUUUUGGUCAUGGCUCAGCUGAGCUGGAGAAUUGUCUUUAUGUAGUAGGGGGUCACACUGCAGUGGCUGGGGUCUUCCCAGCCUCCCCCUCUGUUUCUUUGAAGCAAGUAGAGAAGUACGACCCCGGAGCCAACAAGUGGACGAUGGUGGCUCCUUUAAGGGACGGAGUCAGCAAUGCUGCAGUGGUGAGUGCUAAGCUUAAGCUCUUUGUCUUUGGCGGCACGAGCAUUCACCGGGACAUGGUGUCCAAAGUUCAGUGCUAUGAUCCAUCAGACAACCGAUGGAUGAUCAAAGCGGAAUGUCCUCAGCCUUGGCGCUAUACAGCGGCUGCUGUCCUGGGCAGCCAGAUUUUUAUCAUGGGGGGUGACACAGAAUUCACGGCAGCUUCUGCCUACCGCUUUGAUUGCGAAACCAACCAGUGGACACGGAUUGGGGACAUGACAGCCAAGCGCAUGUCAUGCCAUGCUCUGGCCUCGGGGAACAAGCUCUAUGUGGUGGGUGGAUACUUUGGGACCCAGCGGUGUAAGACAUUAGACUGCUAUGACCCUACCUCAGACACGUGGACCUGCAUCACAACAGUGCCUUACUCACUCAUCCCCACAGCCUUUGUCAGCACUUGGAAACAUUUGCCUGCAUGAGAAGCCCUUAGGACAGUGACUUCAACCCCAGGAACUCAGACAGGUUGAACACUCUAUGCUGUCCCUUUCUCAGCACUGGAGAUAAACAAAAUGCUGCCAUCAUGCUUAGUCUCAUCUCGUGGCUGCAGCCUGCACCAUGAUGGAGGUACCCGGCCCUGUUCUCUCGGGGAGCCUUAGUACAACUACUCACGCUUUCCUCAUCUGAACCCUCCAGCACACAGAAGACUGAAGUGGAAUCCUCAAGAGCAGCACCCAAGAUGGGGAAGAAAUAGCAGCCUGCUGCCCUUCAGCCCACCGGAUAAUUAAAGCCUCUGGAGUUUUGAACAAGAAAAGAGAAGCUGCUUCCACAGAGAACUCUUGGGACCAAAGACCCUUUCAGCUACAGUUUGAGUUUGGUGAGGGGAGAUGGAGGCCAAGGGAGAGUGCUAGGGGGAGGGUAGUAUUUCACAUAUGGCAAAGAACUAAGUAUUUGCUUGUCUGUUUCACACAACACGCCUGCCCCACUAACCCUUUGAGGAUGGUGGGGAAAGAGGUAGCAGCAUCCUUGGUAGAGGGACAGGAGUGAGCCACUUGAGCAGAAGAGGGUGGGGACCUCUGGAGGGUACAUGGCCUCCAACACUGUGCACUAAGGUUUGCCAUUUCCUUCUGAGCUGGAAUUGCCAGCACAGCCUAAUACUGGGCCUAGAACCUGCUAAAUCAGGAAUGUUAUAAACCUCAUUUCAAAGCUUGUAACUUGGAUCAAGUGUUUCAGAUGCGACACACACCGGGUCACCCAGGAUGGGGGUGGGGAUGGGGAGGGAGCUUCUGAAGUCUUGGUGUUCUUGGACUUCUGGCUCUGUCAGGCUCCCGAGAGCUGAGGAGGGCAAAGGACUUUCAGGACUGAUAGAAGAUAGGAACCUAAAGGGGAAGGGCUGUGGCCAAGGAGGCAACUAAGCUUGUUGAAUGUGUCAGCCUUAGGAUGGCAUCAUCCCAAGCCCCAAAGGAAAGACCUCCCAAGACUGCAUCCAAGCCACCUCCUACCUUCUCCCCCAAAUCUCCCAGAACUGGGUAGCUCCGAGACAGACGUAGAGCCUUCAUGCUAACGUGAAAACGAGCCUCCCUGUGCUCUUUGCUGCCUGAUUCCCUCCUACACACCCGCAGAAGCAGCAAAUAAAAGGGUUAUAGAGAGAAUUGCCAGGCCUCCUAAGUCAUUGAUGUCCUCACUCCAGGCCCUCACUUCUGGCAGGAGCCACCAUCUGAUACUUCCUUAGAAGUCAGUUCCAGCUCAUGUCACUGUUUAACAAAUCUGCUUUUAAUGAUGUUGAAGCUUUUCCAGACCCAGUGGCACUGAUUUAAGGGAGAAGAAUUCUUCAUUUUUACAAGGGACUCAGGAGCACACUGAACCCUAUUGCAUCCCCAAAUUGUAGCUAUGUAGUGAGACCAUUGAGGGAACUGUGCCUGGCUUGUUAACCAUCUGCCAGUGUGAUGCUGACUCUAUUAGUCUGGCCCAAAUGACAAUGCAGUAACUUUAGAGAACAUUGCCUUUAUUCCCCCAGCCCUCCUGCCAGCCUCAUCUGGUAGUUUCUCUCUUUGCAAAGUAGGAUUGCUAGUCAGGAUCGCUUAGCCAUUGAGUUUGCGUUUUUGCCCCUUACUGGGUAAACAGCAGGUUAGGUGAAUCAUGGGUUCCUUUUGCUACAGAACUUUCCUGGGUUGCAAAAUGUUUUCCAUCCCCUAAUUAGCUCUGUAGAAGGGGUGAGCCCAUCACCUCUAUGAGUCAACUUAGAGUUCGAGGAAUUGUAUUGCCAGAGAUCCAGCAGACCUCUCCACAGUCCCACAGGAAACAGUGGAACCUAUACUAUUGAUUACAUAACUGAGAAGCAUCUAGCUAAUAUCCCGAGUGGGUGGUCAGAUUUUAUUCUGGCCCAGGGGUAAGAAAGUGACCUGGACGAACAUUGCAAGAUGACUUCCUGCCCAUGACUUUUGACAAGGAUGGGUUGGUUUGAAUCUGCCUCCACAGUUCCUUUUGACUUCCUUAUUGCUGGUUAGCUGACAAGAGCACACAGACUCCUCAUACACAGCCUUUGUAUGCACAAAAGACAAUUCUGUUGGUUUACUGAAAAUUGCGUAGUUUUUAUCCAGUUUUCUAACAAUAAAAAAUAUUAGGAAAUGAUAUAGUUUUUUGGGGGGGGUGAUGAGGGGAAAUGAGUGUGUGGCAAUAAAUUUUGUUUACUGUA